AAUAUUGGACAAUGGGCGAAAGCCUGAUCCAGCCAUGCCGCGUGUGUGAAGAAGGUCAUAGGAAUGUCAAGCACUUUAAGUUGGGAGAAAGAGUUGUAGGCUAAUACCUUGCAAUUUUGACGUUACCAACAGAAUAAGCACCGGCUACCUUCGUGCCAGCAGCCGCGGUAAUACGAAGGGUGCAAGCGUUAAUCGGAAUUACUGGGCGUAAAGCGCGCGUAGGUGGUGCGUUAAGUUGAAAGUGAAAGCCCCGGGCUUAACCUGGGAAUUGCUUUCAAAACUGACGAGCUAGAGUACGGUAGAGGGUAGUGGAAUUUCCUGUGUAGCGGUGAAAUGCGUAGAUAUAGGAAGGAACAUCAGUGGCGAAGGCGACUACCUGGACUGAUACUGACACUGAGGUGCGAAAGCGUGGGGAGCAAACAGG
rnacentral:rRNA from 1 species